rnacentral:rRNA from 1 species
UCGAGGAUCUUCGGCAAUGGGCGCAAGCCUGACCGAGCGACGCCGCGUGCGCGAUGAAGGCCUUCGGGUUGUAAAGCGCUGUCGAGGGGGAGGAAAGCCCGUAAGGGUCUGACCUAUCCCUGGAGGAAGCACGGGCUAAGUUCGUGCCAGCAGCCGCGGUAAGACGAACCGUGCGAACGUUGUUCGGAUUCACUGGGCUUAAAGGGCGCGUAGGCGGACUGCAAAGUCAGGGGUGAAAUCUUUCGGCUCAACCGGAAAAGUGCCCCUGAUACUGGCAGCCUCGAGGGAGGUAGGGGCAUGCGGAACUUCCGGUGGAGCGGUGAAAUGCGUAGAUAUCGGAAGGAACGCCGGUGGCGAAAGCGGCGUGCUGGAUCUCUUCUGACGCUGAGGCGCGAAAGCUAGGGGAGCGAACGGGAUUAGAUACCCCCGUAGUCC